GGGAAGAAAGCAGGGUUUUAAGAAGAGAAACUUUCUUAUGCAGGGCGUGCAAGGAACAUGGAGGUGCGGGGUCUAUGUGUCUUGCUGUAAAACUUAGCUAAGAGGUCAUUGGUUAGUCUGACCAGUGUCAUUGAGGACAGAGUCGGAAUGUGGAUUAACUCUUGUCUUGAGACAGGCUCCCUGUGAGGGAGAAUUCUGGAUGGUGCCGCUUCCAUUCAACAUUUGGUCCUUAGAAUUUCUAAGGAAACAUACUUAGAUAAGCUGGCAGUCCUUGCAGGUUGUUUCACUGGUGGAAACGAAGGAAGGAAAAGGUUAAAUUUGCCUUUCUAAGGAGCUAAGCAAGAGGUGAACAGUGAGAAAGAGAAAAAAUACACAGGUAAUUUUUAGGAAAAUGCUAUACUGGAUUACAAUUUGACAUAAUUUCACUGUGUCUAAAGAGCCACCCUGUACUUCAUGCAAACUACACAGCCUGUGGCAUUCAUGGAGUGACGAACAGAGAAAAAAAUAGUUUUGAAGUGCAAAGGUAACUGGAGAUUUUUUUAAGGAAAAUCAGUGAAGGAAGAAACCUUUAUUGGCUUCUCCUUUUGGUGAGAAAUGUUGUCUUAUAAGUAGACAAUUGUACUUUAAUUAUUUCAUAAUGUAGUGAUUUUACCAGCCACAACUAGCAGCAUAACAUAGGAAAGGCAGGUUGGUGUCCACACAGGGUCAUUAAUCUACCUAAUAAACCAUUUACUUUAUUUCUAAAAAUAUCCUUCAUCCUUGGACUUGAUGCAGGAUCACUGAGUCAUGGAAAACUUUGUGUUUUUGUAGUCAUACAUGAGAUGAAAGCAUAAAGGUGAAUUAUUCUUUGUUAAAGAAUUCAUUUAAAUUACUUUUCUUUGUAUCUUUGCUUUUUGUUUCUGUACUGCUCCAGUACUCCUGUGAACCAUGUCUGAGUGGAGUAAUGAUGGCACCACAGUCCAGCCUGCAUGGUUACUCCAUCAUUACUGUACCACCGCCUAUAUGGAUGUAGUUGUCAGUGUGAAGCUGAGUAAGGAACAACGUGCACCAGACUCACAGAGAAAAAUGGACAAGCGAGCUGGCCUUUGUAUCACUAAAGGGAAGGUUUGGAAUAAUUCAUCAGUGUAAUCUUCUCAACCUGGUCAAUCACAUGAACUUAGAAGAUGAUUCCUCCCCAGCUGAUCCUUCAGGUGAGACCUCAGCCUUUGCAGUCAUCUACAUGUAGAUUCCUGACCCAGAGAAACUGUGAGUAAUUUGUGUGUGCUUUGAGCCACUAAGCUAUGAGGUAAUUGGCUAUGCUGCAAUAAACAAUAAUACACUUGAUGGUAAACAUAGUAUGUUAUCCUUGAUUAGAUCCAAAAAAAGAGAAAAUGGCAUUAGUGGAAACCUGGUAAAAUAUGAACAGUCAGUACUUUAGUUAAUAGUUUUGUGCCUUUGUCAGUUUGUGAGUUUUCACAGAUAGUCAUGGUUAGUUAUGAUAUUAAUGUUGCAGGAAAUUGAAGGGUAUAUCAA
ensembl:lncRNA